GAUGAACGCUGGCGGCGUGCUUAACACAUGCAAGUCGAACGAUGAAGCCCAGCUUGCUGGGUGGAUUAGUGGCGAACGGGUGAGUAACACGUGAGUAACCUGCCCUUGACUCUAGGAUAAGCCCGGGAAACUGGGUCUAAUACUGGAUAGGAACGUCUACCGCAUGGUGGGUGUUGGAAAGAAUUUCGGUCAUGGAUGGACUCGCGGCCUAUCAGCUUGUUGGUGAGGUAAUGGCUCACCAAGGCGACGACGGGUAGCCGGCCUGAGAGGGUGACCGGCCACACUGGGACUGAGACACGGCCCAGACUCCUACGGGAGGCAGCAGUGGGGAAUAUUUCACAAUGGGCGAAAGCCUGAUGCAGCGACGCCGCGUGAGGGAUGACGGCCUUCGGGUUGUAAACCUCUUUCAGUAGGGAAGAAGCGAAAGUGACGGUACCUGCAGAAGAAGCACCGGCUAACUACGUG
rnacentral:rRNA from 1 species